GCGCCACCUUAUGAUUAAAUACAGCUGUACCAGGGUUGUCAUUGGCAACGGAACAGCAUGUCGUGAGACUGAGUCCUUCUUUGCUGACCUCAUCUCUAGGCGCUAUUUUCACCCCCUGGACGUGUCCUACUGAUGAUGCUGGGAGGGCAGGGAAAGAUGACUGGCCUCAAGGAGUGACGGUUUUUGCUAACUAUGAGGGUCUUACUCCCCUGCUGACUGACCCACGGCUGACCCUGACUUGCCAUUAGUGAAACCUCAUUACGUCGGCAACAAGGACGAUGGCAAUGACGGAGAGUAGCUAUGUAGCAUCAGGAACAGCAAGGGGUCCUAAUGCCUGCUGUGAAUGUCCCCAGUAUAGUUAAUUGACCUAGUUUCUUGUAUACUUUGUGACUUUUCUAUAUGUGUGAGCGUUUGUUGGUAUAAGCUCACAGUUUUUGAUCGACAGGUGUAAAAAGUCUUUCAGGCAGCCCAUGUAUAGGAAGCUGGCUCCGUCAUGGAGGUGGAAAACCACCAUCCCGCACAGCAACCUUACACUGUACAGACAAACAAUUCCAGAGCUAAAUACUGUUCUGUCUGUUUGAGUGUAUUUACAGAGUCACUGACUCUUUCCUUCUCUACCUUACCAUCUGCGUUUCUUUGGCUUUCUUUGUUUUUUUAUGCUUUCCUUUUGUCAUCCUCAGCUACUGGAAGCAGCUAAGAAAGAUGUAUUCUGGCUCAAAAGCAAAUAUCCACAAAAAUAUGUGUGUGAAAUAGAGAGUGAGCGCAAGAGAGAGAAUAUAUAUUGGCUGCAGUGUGUUAUCGUCCAGACUAGAGAACAGUUUUGAUUUUAUGAGGAUUUUUAACAUUGUUACCUUGUUAGAUAGGAUCAUUAAAAUGUGACAUUGCUGUUGUUAAAAGUUUUUAUUUUUUAUUUUUGGCAGAAGUACUGUUAGGUGUAUUUUAAUGGCUGUGGUUUAUAUGGUUUUUGUGUGUGUCUGUACCUACAAUACAAGUACAUGUGUAUAGUAAUACAGACCCUCCUUUCCUUUCCU